AUGAUGGACUAUAGGACAGGACUGCUGCUGUUAACUGUCUGCUGGGCAGGUGUUGAUGGUCAGACUCUGACAGAAUCUGAACCAGUGGAUAAAAGGCCUGGAGAAUCUCACAGAUUGACCUGUACAGCCUCUGGAUUCACACUCAGCAGCUACUGGAUGCACUGGGUCAGACAGGCUCCUGGAAAAGGACUGGAGUGGAUUGCUGCUAUCAGUGGUGAUGGUAGUAGCUACAUCUUCUACUCUGAGUCAGUCAAAGGCUGGUUUACCAUCUCCAGAGACAACAGCAGACAGCAGGUGUAUCUGCAGAUGAGCAGUCUGAAGACUGAAGAUUCUGCUGUUUAUUAUUGUGCUCGAGACUCACAGUGA